AACACAGGGUGGAAAUGGGUACCCAGGUGAUGACAGCUGAACAGAGCUCAGGCUCCAGCCACAUGGCUGCUGCAGCUAAAACGCUCUGGGGAGCCUCUAGCCUCCACAGCUCAGUGUGGACUCGGCCACUUACUAGUGUGAGAAAUAGAACUGGCAAUUAAACCAACACUGCAAACAGAUACGAUUCUGUAAGAAACAUUUAAUGUGAACUCUUAAGUAAAACUUGUAUCUUUCUCUCUGAUCAUACAGGUGGGACAUAGUCCCCAGUGGAAAAUCUGGGAAACAAUGAAAAAUACAAAGAAUAAAAUGAAAAUGACCAAUAACCUCAGGAGUAAUCAUCAACACUUGGGGGUUUAUAGGCAUUUUCCUAUGCGUGGAAGCAUGUAUUAGGAAUAUAUGCUGACUUUGAAGAAAGUAAUUGUAAUUUUCACAUGUGGUGGAAAUGAGAAAAAAGCAUUCUGAGUAAGGAGGCCACCAUCUUCAUCACCAUCAAACAGCCUACUGAUCUCGAUGACAGUGACACACAGGUGCUGGAGCUUCUCACAGAAGCAAAUGUUUAAGUGGAGACAUGACAGGGUGUAAUAGUGGUCAUCCAGAAUCCAUGAGGUGACACAUAGGAAGAGAAGACCAAUCACAUCAACAUUGACCUUGACAUGACUGACACAUGAAACCCAUGUGAGAAACUGCCUGCCUUUGGACGACUUUUUACGGGAGAAAAAUAAAGCCAACCUUGUUCGGACAACAAAAGUUGGGUUUUCAGUUAUUUGCAGCCAAAAGCAUUCCGGAGAGAACCAUGCUAGAUGGAAUCCAAAACCCAAAGGCCGC
rnacentral:lncRNA from 1 species